rnacentral:rRNA from 1 species
UACGUAGGGGCCUAGCGUUGUCUGGAAUUAUUGGGCGUAAAGAGCUCGUAGGCGGUCAGCACAAGUCAGUUGUGAAAUCUCCGGGCUUAACUCGGAAAGGUCAACUGAUACUGUGCGACUAGAGUGCAGAAGGGGCAACUGGAAUUCUCGGUGUAGCGGUGAAAUGCGUAGAUAUCGAGAGGAACACCUGCGGCGAAGGCGGGUUGCUGGGCUGACACUGACGCUGAUGCGCGAAAGCCAGGGGAGCGAACGGG